GACUCUCGGCAACAGAUAUCUCGGCUCUCAUAUCGAUGAAGAACGUAGCAAAAUGCGAUACUUGGUGUGAAUUGAAGAAUGCCGUGAACUAUAGUGUAUUUGAACACAAGUUACGCCCAAAGCCAUUAGGCCGAGGGCACGUCUACCUGGGCGUGA